AUUGAACGCUGGCGGCAUGCCUUACACAUGCAAGUCGAACGGUAGAGGGGCAAUCCUCGAGAGUGGCGAACGGGUGAGUAAUGCAUCGGAACGUGCCCAGUAAUGGGGGAUAGCCCGGCGAAAGCCGGAUUAAUACCGCAUACGACCUAAGGGUGAAAGAGGGGGAUCGCAAGACCUCUCGUUAUUGGAGCGGCCGAUGUCAGAUUAGGUAGUUGGUGGGGUAAAGGCCUACCAAGCCAACGAUCUGUAGCUGGUCUGAGAGGACGACCAGCCACACUGGGACUGAGACACGGCCCAGACUCCUACGGGAGGCAGCAGUGGGGAAUUUUGGACAAUGGGCGCAAGCCUGAUCCAGCCAUGCCGCGUGCGGGAAGAAGGCCUUCGGGUUGUAAACCGCUUUUGUCAGGGAAGAAAUCUUCUGGGUUAAUACCUCGGGAAGAUGACGGUACCUGAAGAAUAAGCACCGGCUAACUACGUGCCAGCAGCCGCGGUAACAC
rnacentral:rRNA from 1 species